rnacentral:tRNA from 3 species
UGGCUUAUGGUGUAAUGGUAACACAGCGGUUUUUGGUGCCGUUAUUCCAGGUUCGAGCCCUGGUAAGCCAA